rnacentral:lncRNA from 1 species
CACCAAUUCGAAAGAGAAAUAUUUCGACCCUAAACCUCGCACCCCCACCCGGCCUCCUCUCUGGUGGCUUCCCCAUUUCCACGUUCCCUAAUGACCUCUCCCAUCAAUGCGCCACCACUGCCACCAUUUAUACCAUUGCCCCCAAAUGCUAUUCGGAUUCUAUUCUACAUCAACAACUCAUGAACUCUCUAAUCAACAAUAUCGUCAUCAGCGGCAGCGACAUUUCUCGAAAUGGUAAAGGCCCUCAAAUUCCAAUCCCCACCCUUGAUUCGCUUCUCCAAAAUCUCUAGAAGUUGCUGCCCUUUACCCAUCUCCCUCCUUUUCUCCUCACAACCGGUUCAACAAGAAAAUCUUGAACAAGAGCAUCAUAUUUCAUCCAGCUUAGUCUCCAGAGUGUGCGAAAUCCUAUCCAAUCGGAGAGUCGAUUGGCGGCGAAGCUCGGAGCUAGAGUCCUUGAGCUUGAAGCUCAAACCCCACCAUGUUGCCAAAAUAAUCGAAACCCACAAUAGCACCGACUUAGUUUUGCAGUUUUUUUAUUGGGUUUCUAAGAGGCCUUUCUACAAACAUGAUUUGAGCUGUUAUGUUUCUAUGUUGAAUAGGCUGGUUAAAAAUAAGAUUUUUACGCACGCUGACCAUGUUAGGAUUCUUUUCAUUAAAGCCUGUAGGAAUGAGGGAGAACUUAGAAAGGUUCUUGAUUUUUUGAAUGAGAUUAGUAAAAUGGGUCUUUCUUGUAGUCUGUAUAGUUUUAAUACUUUGUUGAUUCAAUUGGGCAAGUUUGAUAUGGUGGUCAUGGCUCAGAAUGUGUAUAAGGAAUUGUUGAAUAGUGGGAUCAAACCAAAUUUGUUGACUUUGAAUACCAUGAUUAAUAUCUUCUGUAAGAAGGGGAAGGUUGAAGAGGCUGAAAUUAUAUUGAGUCGCAUUUACCAGUAUGAAAUGUUGCCGGAUGUGUUCACAUACACAUCAUUGAUUCUUGGGCAUUGUAGAACUAGGAAUUUAGUUAAGGCGUUUGUUGUUUUUGAUCAGAUGGUGAAGAAGGGCAUUGAUCCAAAUUCGGUAACAUAUACUACUCUUAUCAAUGGGCUAUGUGAAAAUGGAAGAGUGGACGAGGCACUGGGCAUGAUAGAGGAGAUGAUUGAGAAAGGGAUUGAACCAACCAUAUAUACCUACACGGUGCCUAUUACUGCAUUGCUUGCAGUUGGGCGCAUGAAUGACGCUAUCAAUCUAGUCGCUAGCAUGAAAGAGAGAGGUUGCCAUCCCAAUGUUCAGACCUAUACUGCUCUUAUUAGUGGGUUGGGCAAAUCCAGUCAACUUGAGGUAGCUGUUGGAUUGUACCAUAAGAUGUUGAGAAAGGGCUUGAUGCCAACGGCAGUCACAUACAAUGCUUUGAUAAAUGAAUUGUGUGAGGGUGGGAAACUUGAUACUGCCUUUCGAAUUUUUCAUUGGAUGGAGGGACAUGGUUACUUGCCAAAUGCUCAAACCUAUAAUGCAAUGAUAAAAGGACUCUGUAUGAUUGGAAAUUUUGAGAGGGCGAUGAUUCUAUAUAACGAAAUGCUGAAGGUGGGUCCUGCACCUACAGUGAUUACGUACAACACUCUCAUUAAUGGAUACCUGGAAAGGGGUUUUCUGGACAAUGCUAUGAGAUUAUUAGAGGUGAUGAAGGAAAGUGGUUGUCAACCAGAUGAAUGGACAUAUGCAGAACUUGUUUCAGGUUUUUGCGAAAGGGGGAAGCUUGAUAUGGCUUCUGCACUUUUUCAGGAAAUGAUGCAACGAGGUUUGAGCCCAAAUCAGGUGAACUACACCACUUUGAUCGAUGGCCUUUGCAAGGAAGGGAAAGUUGAUGAUUCACUGAUAUUAUUUGAAGGAAUGUUCAAGAGUGGUUGUGAUCCAGAUAUUGAGACUUACAACUCGGUUAUAAAUGGUUUGUCGAGAGGGAACAGGCUUUCUGAAGCAGAGAAACUAUGCAAUAAGAUGGUAGAAAGUGGACUUCUUCCAAACGUGAUAACCUACACAACUUUAAUUGAUGGUCUGUGUAAGAAUGGUGGAACACAUCUUGCAUUCAAGAUUUUCCAUGAAAUGGAGAAAAGGAAUUGCUUACCAAACUUGUACACUUAUAGUUCACUAAUCCAUGGAUUAUGUUUGGAAGGUCAGGCUGAUCGUGCAGAGAUGUUACUUGAAGAAAUGGCGAGCAAAAAGUUAUCUCCUGAUCAGGUCACAUAUACUUCAUUGAUUGAUGGGUUUGUCACCCUGGGUAGAUUAAAUCACGCAUUUGAACUUCUUCAUCUGAUGGUACAUGCGGGCUGCAAACCUAACUACCGAACAUUCUGUGUGUUGCUGAAAGGGUUGCAAAAGGAAUGUCGGAUGCUUGCAGAAAAAGUUGCAGUCCAACAUGAAACAGUCUACAGCUGCAAUGCAGAUGAGAAGGAUUUUACAUAUGAUACUUUAUGUAAUCUCUUAGUUAGGUUGUCCGAGAUUCACUAUGAACCUUCUGUUGAUACAUAUUGCUGUUUAAUUGCUGGCCUCUGUAGAGGUGGCAAAUUGUAUGAGGCAGAACAGUUGGUUAAAUAUAUGAAAGAGAAAGGGCUAAGUCCUAAUGAUGCAAUUUAUUGCUCUCUCCUCAGUGCUUACUGCAAGUAUUUGAGAAUGGAGCCUGCUCUAGAAGUAUUUAAUUUAUUAGUUGUCAGAGGUUUCAAUCCUUCUUUAUCAAUUUAUAGACAACUUAUUUCCUCUCUUUGCAAGAUAAAUUGGGUCAAAGAGGCCGAAAUUUUGUUUGAGAACAUGCUUGAGAAACAAUGGAAUACUGAUGAAAUUGUUUGGACUAUCUUGCUUGAUGGAUUGCUCAAGGAGGGGGAAUCAAUAGUAUGCUUGAAGCUUCUUCAUACUAUGAUCUCUAAGAAUUACUCUAUCAGUUUGCAAACAUAUGUCAUGCUGGCAAGAGAAUUAUCCAAAGUUGACCAAUCUAUUGAUAUGAACCAAGUUGCUGAUAAAUUGCAAAGCCUGAGAAAGAAAAAACCAGGCUGAAGUCUUCAUUUUAAUGAAUUGACCGCAUAGAAAACAUAUUGCCUUCUCUUGGAAGACAGAUCCUCCUGCACUUUGUCCCUUGCUAUUUCACUUGAUUCCAAUGGCCCUUUUGCAGCAUCUGUAAAUAUAAUUUUUGAGCUGCAAUCUAUGAUCAAUGAGUGGUAAGCCUAUUGUACUUUUCGAUGGGAAUCUUGAU